CAGGGUGUAGCUCAGUUUGGUAGAGCGCUGCGCUUGGAACGCAGAGGAUCGCACGUUCGAGUCGUGCCACCCUGACCA
rnacentral:tRNA from 1 species